rnacentral:rRNA from 1 species
GACGAACCGAGCGAACGUUGUUCGGAAUCACUGGGCUUAAAGGGCGCGUAGGCGGGUGCUCAAGUCCGGGGUGAAAUCCUCCAGCUCAACUGGAGAACUGCCUCGGAUACUGGGUGUCUCGAGGGUGGUAGGGGUAUGCGGAACUAUCGGUGGAGCGGUGAAAUGCGUAGAUAUCUACAGGAACGCCGAUGGUGAAGACGGGCAACUGGGCCUUUCCUGACGCUGAGGCACGAAAGCGUGGGGAGCAAACAGG